CAGAAGUGCGAAUGCUGACAUAAGUAACGAUAAAGCGGGUGAAAAGCCCGCUCGCCGGAAGACCAAGGGUUCCUGUCCAACGUUAAUCGGGGCAGGGUGAGUCGACCCCUAAGGCGAGGCCGAAAGGCGUAGUCGAUGGGAAACAGGUUAAUAUUCCUGUACUUGGUGUUACUGCGAAGGGGGGACGGAGAAGGCUAUGUUGGCCGGGCGACGGUUGUCCCGGUUUAAGCGUGUAGGCUGGUUUUCCAGGCAAAUCCGGAAAAUCAAGGCUGAGGCGUGAUGACGAGGCACUACGGUGCUGAAGCAACAAAUGCCCUGCUUCCAGGAAAAGCCUCUAAGCAUCAGGUAACAUCAAAUCGUACCCCAAACCGACACAGGUGGUCAGGUAGAGAAUACCAAGGCGCUUGAGAGAACUCGGGUGAAGGAACUAGGCAAAAUGGUGCCGUAACUUCGGGAGAAGGCACGCUGAUAUGUAGGUGAAGUCCCUCGCGGAUGGAGCUGAAAUCAGUCGAAGAUACCAGCUGGCUGCAACUGUUUAUUAAAAACACAGCACUGUGCAAACACGAAAGUGGACGUAUACGGUGUGACGCCUGCCCGGUGCCGGAAGGUUAAUUGAUGGGGUUAGCGCAAGCGAAGCUCUUGAUCGAAGCCCCGGUAAACGGCGGCCGUAACUAUAACGGUCCUAAGGUAGCGAAAUUCCUUGUCGGGUAAGUUCCGACCUGCACGAAUGGCGUAAUGAUGGCCAGGCUGUCUCCACCCGAGACUCAGUGAAAUUGAACUCGCUGUGAAGAUGCAGUGUACCCGCGGCAAGACGGAAAGACCCCGUGAACCUUUACUAUAGCUUGACACUGAACAUUGAGCCUUGAUGUGUAGGAUAGGUGGGAGGCUUUGAAGUGUGGACGCCAGUCUGCAUGGAGCCGACCUUGAAAUACCACCCUUUAAUGUUUGAUGUUCUAACGUUGACCCGUAAUCCGGGUUGCGGACAGUGUCUGGUGGGUAGUUUGACUGGGGCGGUCUCCUCCUAAAGAGUAACGGAGGAGCACGAAGGUUGGCUAAUCCUGGUCGGACAUCAGGAGGUUAGUGCAAUGGCAUAAGCCAGCUUGACUGCGAGCGUGACGGCGCGAGCAGGUGCGAAAGCAGGUCAUAGUGAUCCGGUGGUUCUGAAUGGAAGGGCCAUCGCUCAACGGAUAAAAGGUACUCCGGGGAUAACAGGCUGAUACCGCCCAAGAGUUCAUAUCGACGGCGGUGUUUGGCACCUCGAUGUCGGCUCAUCACAUCCUGGGGCUGAAGUAGGUCCCAAGGGUAUGGCUGUUCGCCAUUUAAAGUGGUACGCGAGCUGGGUUUAGAACGUCGUGAGACAGUUCGGUCCCUAUCUGCCGUGGGCGCUGGAGAACUGAGGGGGGCUGCUCCUAGUACGAGAGGACCGGAGUGGACGCAUCACUGGUGUUCGGGUUGUCAUGCCAAUGGCACUGCCCGGUAGCUAAAUGCGGAAGAGAUAAGUGCUGAAAGCAUCUAAGCACGAAACUUGCCCCGAGAUGAGUUCUCCCUGACUCCUUGAGAGUCCUGAAGGAACGUUGAAGACGACGACGUUGAUAGGCCGGGUGUGUAAGCGCAGCGAUGCGUUGAGCUAACCGGUACUAAUGAACCGUGAGGCUUAACCUU
rnacentral:rRNA from 1 species